GUGCUACCUAAAAAUACACAACACCAAUUGAAGCUCUACCCUCUUAUAGAUAGCAGAGACCAAUGCCUGAAGAUGUGCCAUCUCAGAGCAGCAGAUGCUGAUCAUCUGACCAUUUUGUUAGCUUGACCUUUGUAAUAAGCUACAGACUCUACAUGAACUGACAAACAGCUGGUCGAAAACAAUGUCGUGCUUAACUUGGUAUUUUCUUAAUUAAAUAUAAGUAAAACAGAUAAAUUAGGAAGUUUGACAUGAAGAUUUCAUGAUCCAUUCCAAUUGUUAUCUUCGUGUAAAAAAUAUAGGUUGUGCCUAAGGACCAAAGGCCUCUUUAGAGAAGUUUGUCUUUCCUUUUAAAGUAGUUAGCUAGUACCCCCCCUUCUCUUCUCUGCUUUGCUCUGUUACUCUUUUUGCAGAUGGUUGGUUCCAGUCUAAGUCUCUGUUCUCUGGCGGCGGUGGGUCGCCUAAUAACCAAAAAACUGCAAUGUUUCGAGCAUCUUUUCUUUGCUGGAAACAUAAGGAGGGGACUGCAUGGACACUCCAAACAAUCAGCAUAUACAUUUGUUGAACGGGAAGUAAGGAAACAAUCAUAUACUAAUAAUGUGUAG
rnacentral:lncRNA from 1 species